rnacentral:rRNA from 1 species
AUUGACUAAGGUUUCCAGAGGAAGGCUCGUCCGCUCUGGGUUAGUCGGGUCCUAAGCUGAGGCCGACAGGCGUAGGCGAUGGAUAACAGGUUGAUAUUCCUGUACCACCUAUAAUCGUUUUAAUCGAUGGGGGGACGCAGUAGGAUAGGCGAAGCGUGCGAUUGGAUUGCACGUCUAAGCAGUAAGGCUGAGUAUUAGGCAAAUCCGGUACUCGUUAAGGCUGAGCUGUGAUGGGGAGAAGACAUUGUGUCUUCGAGUCGUUGAUUUCACACUGCCGAGAAAAGCCUCUAGAUAGAAAAUAGGUGCCCGUACCGCAAACCGACACAGGUAGUCAAGAUGAGAAUUCUAAGGUGAGCGAGCGAACUCUCGUUAAGGAACUCGGCAAAAUGAC